ACUCUGUGUUUGAGCACCCCCCACUUCAGAGCUUUCCUUGUGAAAACCUGCUCCUUAAAACUGAAUUGGAGAAAACAGCAAUCUGCAGAAAACCUGAAUUGCCAUUUACUCCAAUUCAGCUUUAAAAAGCAGGUUUUCAUAGGGAAAGCUCCAGAGCCAGGAGGAUGAUGCUUGGACACAGAG